rnacentral:rRNA from 1 species
ACGUAGGGUGCAAGCGUUAAUCGGAAUUACUGGGCGUAAAGCGUGCGCAGGCGGUUUUGUAAGACAGAGGUGAAAUCCCCGGGCUCAACCUGGGAACUGCCUUUGUGACUGCAAGGCUAGAGUACGGCAGAGGGGGAUGGAAUUCCGCGUGUAGCAGUGAAAUGCGUAGAUAUGCGGAGGAACACCGAUGGCGAAGGCAAUCCCCUGGGCCUGUACUGACGCUCAUGCACGAAAGCGUGGGGAGCAAACAG